rnacentral:rRNA from 1 species
UACGUAGGUGGCAAGCGUUGUCCGGAUUUACUGGGCGUAAAGAGCGCGCAGGCGGUCGGAUAAGUCGAGUGUGAAAGCCCCUGGCUCAACCAGGGAGGGUCAUUCGAUACUGUUCGACUCGAAGGCAGGAGAGGGAAGUGGAAUUCCGGGUGUAGUGGUGAAAUGCGUAGAUAUCCGGAGGAACACCAGUGGCGAAGGCGACUUUCUGGCCUGUUCUUGACGCUGAGGCGCGAAAGCUAGGGGAGCAAAC